CCUACGGGCGGCUGCAGUGGGGAAUAUUGCACAAUGGGCGCAAGCCUGAUGCAGCCAUGCCGCGUGUGUGAAGAAGGCCUUCGGGUUGUAAAGCACUUUCAGCGGGGAGGAAGGCGGUGAGGUUAAUAACCUCAUCGAUUGACGUUACCCGCAGAAGAAGCACCGGCUAACUCCGUGCCAGCAGCCGCGGUAAUACGGAGGGUGCAAGCGUUAAUCGGAAUUACUGGGCGUAAAGCGCACGCAGGCGGUCUGUCAAGUCGGAUGUGAAAUCCCCGGGCUCAACCUGGGAACUGCAUUCGAAACUGGCAGGCUAGAGUCUUGUAGAGGGGGGUAGAAUGCCAGGUGUAGCGGUGAAAUGCGUAGAGAUCUGGAGGAAUACCGGUGGCGAAGGCGGCCCCCUGGACAAAGACUGACGCUCAGGUGCGAAGGCGUGGGGAGCAAACAGGAUUAGAUACCCUAGUAGUC
rnacentral:rRNA from 1 species